CAGGAAUGGACGGUUGACAUCUUCUCCUAUUAUGUAUUUUAAUGUUUAAUAGAAACAAAAAUAUUUGGUUUGACGGAGGGAUUAUAUCAAAUUUAUCAAAUCCCAAUCCAUUGAGUUGGUAGCCUCUGACUUUUUUGUUUCCUUCUUUCUCUCACUUUAUUUCAAUCAUUUCGUUUUUCCAAUUAACUUUAAUUUAAUCCAUUGAAGUAUUCUCUUCUCCAUCAUUCUCUUUACAUUUUAACCGUUUCUCCUCACUUUUUCAUUCUUUUUUUCAUUUUUCAUGUUUUUGCCACUUUUUCUCUUCUCUUCUCUUCCUCUUUCAAUCUUCACUCUUCUUGGUUUCUCCUCUUCGCUACGUCUCUUCUUUCUGGUCCUUUUCGUCACUCCUUCAAUCUCCACCGUUCUUGGUUUCUCCUCUUCGCUACGUCUCUUCUCCUUAUCUUCUUCUCCCUCUUCCUCACCGUUCUUUUUCAGCUACGAAAGAUACAACUUGAUAAAUUGGGUUAGUUUUCACUCUUAAGGUCCCUGGUGGUGAUGGAAUGGAAGUAAAAGAGUAAGAAGGCGUUGAAUGAGAGGGAGAAAGAAGGGGAAGCAUUAGAUCAUAAGUUGAGUAUAACUUGGUGUACACAAACUAUUAAGUUUCAUUUACACUUUACACCCACUUUUUGUUAAAGUAACUGUCGUUCAAAAGUAUUUAUGGAACUAGGUAUUUGCUAAUUAUGUUCAAUAUACAAAUAGUAUGAGUAUUUUAACUUCCUUUUUUAAAAAAAAAGUAUAAAAAUAUUAUUAAACUUUCCAAAGUUCGUGACAUUUAUAACCUAAUCACUUACAAUUUCAUCUACAACUUGUCCUGUGGGCAUUCUUUAAAAGUAAAAGGUAUUAAUGAGACGUUUGAAAUUUUCAGGAAUAUUUUUUAAA